rnacentral:lncRNA from 1 species
AGAUGUGGCACUUGAAACAGGAAGGCCAAGAUGAAUAUAGAACCAGGGAAGCAAAUUUCCGGAUCGAGAGUGGGGCUGCCGCCCUGUCAGAGCAAGCCUGUGUCUGUUAGGAUCUGCCUCCAGACUCAGAGGAGAGGGGCGAAUCACAAGCGACAGCUCCUGUUCACUGGGCCAGCGGCUUAGGUGCUCCUUCCCUUUAAUGAUCCAGGUAGGAGCAGGUGCUCUUCCUGUGGGGGGAGGAGUUGGAUCUUCAGCAAGAACUCAGCAGUACACUUCACGUGUGUGUGUGUGUGUGUGUGUGUGUGUGUGUGUGUGUGUGUGUGUGUGUGUGGUGUGUGUGUGUGUGUGUGUGUGUGUGUGUAAAGUGUCUUACUUUUUCCAUUGGCAUCUGAAAAAGAGUACAGAUUUAAAGACCCAGGGUCGGGUACUUCCUUUUGGGCUCUGGGCCCUAUGGGACUGGAAGAAAAGUCCUGGUAGGGCCAGUGGAGGAUGACAAAUGUUUGAGUUGUCAAAAGGACUGGACUCCAUUUCCCAGAGGGCAUCGCGGCACCGUUCUCGGUUUCCCCUACCUUGGUGUAGGUAAUACCCUGGCAGCUGAGGCCUGAAGUGCCCCCCGCCAUUCCGACUUGGUAGGUUCCACCGACAGACAAGUUGGCCUUCCUGCCUGGGCGGCUGGGCACAUCCAAACAGCGUGCAGGGGGAGCCAUGGGAGGUUAGGCUAAACUGUCAGAAAGUCUUAGGGGCAGUUUAUCUUGACAAGCACUUUCAUAUUGAUCACCAUUUUCAUCAAGAAGGACUCUAUAACCAAGUCGAAUUAAAAGCUAUCUGAGCAACCAAAACAAAAUGCGUUCCUGUGAGUCCUCCCCUUGACACCUACCUGGACUGGGCUGGCCCGGUGCUUCCCAUCCCGUCCCCACUCCCACGACGAAAGGUGUGAGCGUCGCCGGGCUCCGCUCGGUGCAGCCCCGUCCCCCGCGCGGCGAAUGGUACGGCCCCAGCCCCCUCCGCCGCCUCCUCCUCCCGCCUCGGGGCUGAGUGGUACGCGCCCCCCGGUGCAGACGCGGAACUGGCGCCCGCUCGCCGCGGCGCCCGGCUAGGAAGCGAGGAGCGCCCCGCCGCCGGCCGGGAGACGUCGGGUGGGCCUGGCAGCCUCCUCCGAGAGUAGGUAGCUGAGCGCCCGCGGUCGGGAGCCCCGUGUGGGGCUUUGAGGGGGAACGCGGAGCCUGAGAGGAAAAGCGGCUCCGGGAGGAGAGGGUCUCUGAGGCGGCCCUGGAGGAGCGAGCGAGCGCGAGGGGGCGUGGAGCCUGCUGAGAAAGUGAGGCGGGGGUCGGGCGGGGAGCCCGUGCGGCUGCGGGGCUGUGGGCCCGCGGGGCGGCUUCCCGGGUGGGGACGAGGAGCUGUCCAGCAGGUGAGGGGGCGGCCAGAGCUGUCCAGCCCCGGGCCCGAGGAAGGCACCGGCGCCUGGCGUGUGUGCGCGUGCGUGCGCACGCCUUAUUUUUUUUUAUUUUUUUUUUGACUAGCGUUUGGAGAACCACGUUUGGUUCUUUAAAAUAGACAUAUAUGUAUUUACAUUUCAUCCUUCAGUAUUGGCCUGCUGAAGACUAGGCACACCAUCUCAUCACUGGCUGCAACUGCUCCCUUUUCCAAUCUCCCGCAGCUUAGUGUUUCGUGCUCACUCCUCCUUCCCCAGUCCUGACCAUCGCUGGCUUCAUUGCUCCAGUUCUUCCCCCAUGCUGGACCAGUCUGCUGAUGAGCUUGCAAGGUCACUGUCUGGGGAGGAGGAGGAAGGAGAGGAAGCCUCCGGUUGUGCUCACGUCAGCAAAGAUGUCAUACCGUCCUUGGGUCGGGUUCUUGUGGUUUUUACUAUGAGAUCCUGCCCCAAAUGAGGGGCGGAAUCCACAGGGUUGGUAGUAUGGCCAUUGUAGGCUGAAAAUGCAGAGAUUACCUAAAAGUCCGUGGUCUCUAGACGUGAGUGGUGAUGUAGGAUUAUAGCAGAAAGGUGUGCAUUUAGAGAUUUGGACUACGAUGGGACAAGAGCUCGGGGCUUUACAUUAGUAAAUAAGAUUGAGGCAGGAGGUAGAGUCUGGGCCCUCUUGGUUGUGAAGACUGAAUGAGUUAGAGGUGGUGGUAGAGGAUUUAGAGUCUGUGGGGAAGGCAGAGAAGGACAGUGGUGAUUAUCUUUGUCGCCUGAGUAUCUGAAGUCACUGGCUAUUGAUGGGAUACGAAUUGAGCCUAAAAAUACAUUCUGCCACUGCUAGCUAGGAUAGUCCCAAGGUCUCGGGUUCUUGCAGCUCUGAAAGGAGAACUGUAGAAUAUGGCAAUUGACUUGAAUUUGGAGAGGGGCUUCAUCUCGCUAACACUAGAGAGGUCCCUAUAAUUAAUUUACUAUUAAGAGAAAGCUUCAGCUCCCCUCUCUCAACCUCUCUCUCUCAACCCCCCCCCUCUCUCUCUCUCUCUCUCUCUCAAUCUCUCUCUCUCUGUCUCUGUCUCUCUGAGAUUUUAGUCAGGAUGAUGCUUCUGGUUUUCAAUGUAAACCUGUUUUAAAGAUCCAGCCUCUGGUCCUACAAAUUCUGUUUUAUGGUAAGGUGCUUUAAUACAGAGGUGAAUCUGGCUUGCUUAUAGGUAGAUAUGUCCGUAUAGAACCCAGUAUGGCUUUUGCCUGUGUCCUAUUUCAUAGCUUCAUUUCUCUUAGGAGGAAGGGAGCCCAGCUCUAUAAGGGAGCUCCACUUUUGCAAUAUGUUCAUGCAAUAUGUUCAUGUAGUUGGGAGAACAAGAGGAUUGUUUAGGAUUAUUAAGAGUGAUGAACCCCAGAAAUGACUGAAUGUGUGGCAUGCUCAGGAACUUGAUGGUGAAGAACUAUUUCUAUUAAAAGCUGAACGUGGG